AAACAAAAGUCCUACCCUCAAGGAGCCUGGAUGUACAACCAGAAGGAAAGAACCAUAUAAAGAGAACCAUGGGAAAGAGAGAAGGGUAGACAGAGCACUGGAAGGAGACUCUUCUUCAACUGAGCACCUGCAGCAACUCAAUGAGGGUUGAUUAUCCAUUUAGGCAAGCCACUCUGACAGUAGAGUGAGACAUGAAUUGGCAGAGGCUGAACUAAAGGAAAGAGGGGCAAGGCCGGAAUGCAGGUAGGGAUGAAGGAGGAGGAAGAAGGCUUGGAGACUAGCUGGAAGUACAAAGAGCUGAGAGUGAAGGAGGAGUAUAGAGAAGAUCCCUGAUUUCUCAGUGAGGCAACUGGAUGGAAGAAGCAUUUUUGAGGGGCACAGCUGUGACAAAGACUUUGCAGGGAUGGCCCACAAGGUCCUGGGGAUCUGGAUCCAACAAAACCCAAGCCUCAUCUCCUGCCCUCCUGUCUUCACCAAGGCUCCACACACUCUUCAACCUCUGAUUUCUCACCUCUGGGCCAGUCUUUGAAGAAACACACACAUGGUUCCUCUGACUUGAAGGCUUCCUGCCCCUACAUACAAAGGUAGAGGUUCUUUCCCUCCCAAACCCUCAGCUCUUUAUCAGUCCCUAUUAAACAAUACCCAAGCUGCAUUAUAAUUACUUGUUCAUUCACCAUUCUCACCCCCAUCAGACUUUGUUUCCUCUAGAGCAAGAAACACAUGUUCAUUAUCUUUGCAAACAGCAGCAUCCAAAGCACAUAC